UACGGAGGGGGCUAGCGUUGUCCGGAAUCAUUGGGCGUAAAGAGCGUGUAGGCGGUCCGGUAAGUCCGCUGUGAAAGUCGGGGGCUCAACCCUCGAAUGCCGGUGGAUACUGUCGGGCUAGAGUGCGGAAGAGGCGAGUGGAAUUCCUGGUGUAGCGGUGAAAUGCGCAGAUAUCAGGAGGAACACCUAUUGCGAAGGCAGCUCGCUGGGACGUAACUGACGCUGAGACGCGAAAGCGUGGGGAGCGAACGGG
rnacentral:rRNA from 1 species